UAUUUAUUUAUCAUAUUAAUCUCAAAAAGCAAGAGUCCUGGUUGCAGAGAAAUCGCGGAAUGAACAGGUAGGUACAAAACAAUAAAAAAAAGUGAAAAAAACGACACCAGUUCCAGUUCCAUUAAAGUUACACAUACGAAUCCGUAAGAUUCUGUGAGCUGAACGGUGCCAUGGCAGAUCCCCCAGUAGAGAAAAUCUCAAUUCCAGGGCCAACACUGGCAACUAUAAUGCAGAGCUUCACCACAUCAAAUGCGGACUUUGACGGCCUCCUUUUUGGCCAUGUCCGCUCAGUCUCCUCCCCAAAUUUGGCGGACGAUGAUGACCAAACGGCUCUGCGGCAGGACCUGGUGGCCACUAUUACUGCCUGCACCACCUCCGGUUUUCUUCAUUCCUUCUACGAUUCCAUUGGCCGAAUCGACCAUGCCAAACUCGCUAAACUUAGCGGUCAACAAAUUGCUUUAAAGAAUAACCACGAUCCCCUUAUCGGCUGGUUUGUCGCCCGCAGAAAUACGCCUCUCAGGCCCUCCAUGCGCGAAGCCGCCGUCACAUCUUGGUUAAGGAGAAGUGCUAGUACGGCUUCCGUUGCUGCCCAAAACUACUUGUCUGUGGCUUCGGACAGCGAUGGAAGCGGUAUUAAGGUUUCGGAAGGGGGUUACUCGCCUAGGGUUUCGAAAAGUGGUUUAGGGCUGCCGUAUUCGUCCGAGUCCAGCAGCAGUUCACAGGCCAGCAGGGGCAGCCCUAGGCGUGAAAAGGGCGCUGUUGUCAAAGAUAAAGUUAUCAAGGAGGAGAUUGCAAGUAGGAUUUGUGGAAUACCUGCUUCGUCCCCUUGCGUGUUUUUGAUUUUUUCUGAGUCGUUGUCGCAGCAUUCUAUUCAUACGCACGAGUACAGGGGGUUUCAGUACUUGUGUAAGGGUGAAAGAGGGGUUUUUGAGGCGAAGAGUUUGGAUAUUGUUAACAUAGGUCCAGGAUUUCGUAGCGUUUACAGUGCAUUUUCGCCAGUUUCGGCGUUUCCUUUGUUGCCGAGUGGAUUUCAGCCCCUGCAGGAGGACGAUGGCCAUGGCCACGACAAUAGAGAAGACAGGCAUAGGCAGAAAGGCGAGAGGGGGCAGCGGUCGUUGGAUAUGUAUUCUGCAGGGUAUUCGGUCGACCGGUUUGGAAAAUUGGUGAGGUCGGAUGCAAUGCAUGUAGUCUCCGAGAUUGAAGAACUCUAUGGGGGAAUGAUUUUGCAGAUGGAGCAUUUGGCUAAGCAGGUGGCCGAGAGCUCGCAGGUGGUUGCUAAACAGGAGCAGCACAAUAUGAAGUUGAGAUAUAAGCUUGCUGGAAUUGAGUGAGGCUUUUGGCGUAGUAUACUUUAUGAACAAAAGGUGCCUGGUACCGGUCCAGUCCGGUCAGGGUCUGGAUCUUGGUCCGGUUCGCUUGUGGGUCCGGCUAGGGUCUGUGCUUCGGUGGGCCGGUUCGGCCUGGAUGAACUGAGACGGCAGGGCGCCCCAAAAGUGCUUUUUUUUGUAUAAUUUAAUAAAUUUUUGACUUCUGCCACUUGCAAACAAAAAGUAAAACCCUAAAAGUGACAUUCAAAACACAAACUUAGUUCAUUUUUCCUUGUUUGUUUUGCAAACAUCAGUUUUUUCAUUUCAGGUUGAGCAAAGUUUGGGUUCCAACAUCAAAUAGGAGUUGAAGAUUGAUUUUUGAAGCUUGAACAAGUGUUGCAGCAUCAUUUCUACACAUUUGCAAGCUUCUAUUGGCUGAAAGAGAUAGAUACCUGGCAAAUCUUCCCCCAAAUAUGCCUGUUCUUUGGGGUUAUGGUUUCCUGCAACUUGACUGAGGUGCAAUGAAGUUUGUCAUGUCAAGAUUUAUUGACAGAGCUAACAUUGCUCUCUAUGUUGUGGGAUUUUCUAGCCAGAGGUAUGUUGUUUGGAUACGCUUCUUACUCAUUUUUGUGCUAUGUAUGAAGAUUGGCCAUAUAUUUAGAAAUUUUGAUGCCAAUUGUUUCUGAGAUUUGAAAAUGGUAGAUAUAAGUGGCUCCGUGUUGGAAUCAACCAUUUUUAGAUAUGUACGUAAAUUUUCCCUUAAAUGCAAUUAAGGUGCCUUCUGAGUCUGGAAAAAUGGCAGUACUGUUUAAGGUAUCUCUAUGUUGUUUCUUUUGAAUGUCUUUGAAAUUUUUUAGGUAUAAAUCUCUAUCAUAGUGUCAAGAAAAAGGUUCUCCACUUGGGCACUUUAUGUGUGCCCCAAUUUGUGGCCAUUCGAACAAAAAUCAUUUUUAAUAUGUGCUUCUAUUUGCAUUUUGUGCUUUAAAUAAACCCAGGGUAUUUCUGUGGUACUUUUUUCAAAAUAAUUGUUUAUGGAAUCACUACUAUUAUCCUUGGAAGUAAUGCUAGUGUUUCUGGCACAUAUUCCUAGUGGGAAACCUUCCCAUGCAGGCAUCAUAUUUUUCUGUAAAGAUGAUAUCAAAGAAAUAGAUAUCCUUGUGUUGUGGCCUAGCAAUUACCUUAACGGACUCUAGUCUGGAAUAAUCUUUGCGUUCAAAUGCAACAUUUUCCAAAGCUCUGCAGUUUAUACUGCCCGCAGAAUGAAAUGUAAGAAUUUUGUGUAUCCUCUGAAUAAUAUACAAGAGAUGCUUGCAUAUGUAGUCCCUAUCAGCUAAUGCAGUUUGCAUCUAAAAUGGCUGAAUGAAAUUGCUCUAAAAACCUUAUAUGAUUUUUUGGAAUCAAUUUCAAAUUUCAAUAGAUUUUAAGUUUAAAGUAA